GGCGUGCCUAACACAUGCAAGUCGAACGGAACUGUUUUGAAAUAUUUCUUCGGAAUGAAUUUUAUUUAGUUUAGUGGCGGACGGGUGAAUAACGCGUGAGUAACCUGCCUUCGAGAGGGGGAUAACAUUCUGAAAAGAAUGCUAAUACCGCAUGACAUAUCGGAACCACAUGAUUUUGAUAUCAAAGAUUUUAUCGCUUGAAGAUGGACUCGCGUCCGAUUAUUUAGUUGGUGAGGUAACGGCUCACCAAGACCGCGAUCGGUAGCCGGACUGAGAGGUUGAACGGCCACAUUGGGACUGAGACACGGCCCAGACUCCUACGGGAGGCAGCAGUGGGGGAUAUUGCGCAAUGGGGGCAACCCUGACGCAGCAACGCCGCGUGAAGGAUGAAGGUUUUCGGAUUGUAAACUUCUUUUAUUAAGGACAAAACUUGACGGUACUUAAUGAAUAAGCUCCGGCUAACUACGUGCCAGCAGCCGCGGUAAUACGUAGGGAGCAAGCGUUGUCCGGAUUUACUGGGUGUAAAGGGUGCGUAGGCGGCUUUGCAAGUCAGAUGUGAAAUCUAUGGGCUCAACCCAUAAACUGCAUUUGAAACUGUAGAGCUUGAGUGAAGUAGAGGCAGGCGGAAUUCCCCGUGUAGCGGUGAAAUGCGUAGAGAUGGGGAGGAACACCAGUGGCGAAGGCGGCCUGCUGGGCUUUAACUGACGCUGAGGCUCGAAAGCGUGGGUAGCAAACAGGAUUAGAUACCCUGGUAGUCCACGCUGU
rnacentral:rRNA from 1 species